UACGUAGGGGGCAAGCGUUGUUCGGAAUUAUUGGGCGUAAAGCGCGCGCAGGCGGUUUCUUAAGUCUGAUGUGAAAGCCCACGGCUCAACCGUGGAGGGCCAUUGGAAACUGGGGAACUUGAGUGCAGAAGAGAAAAGCGGAAUUCCACGUGUAGAGGUGAAAUUCGUAGAUAUUGGGAAGAACACCGGUGGCGAAGGCGGCCAUCUGGACCAUUUCUGACGCUGAGGCGCGAAAGCGUGGGGAGCAAACAGG
rnacentral:rRNA from 1 species